rnacentral:rRNA from 1 species
GAUGAACGCUGGCGGCGUGCCUAAUACAUGCAAGUCGAGCGAACGGACGAGAAGCUUGCUCCUCUGAUGUUAGCGGCGGACGGGUGAGUAACACGUGGAUAACCUACCUAUAAGACUGGGAUAACUUCGGGAAACCGGAGCUAAUACCGGAUGAUAUUUUGAACCGCAUGGUUCAAAAGUGAAAGACGGUCUUGCUGUCACUUAUAGAUGGAUCCGCGCUGCAUUAGCUAGUUGGUAAGGUAACGGCUUACCAAGGCAACGAUGCAUAGCCGACCUGAGAGGGUGAUCGGCCACACUGGAACUGAGACACGGCCGAGACUCCUACGGGAGGCAGCAGUAGGGAAUCUUACGCAAUGGGCGAAAGCCUGACGGAGCAACGCCGCGUGAGUGAUGAAGGUCUUCGGAUCGUAAAACUCUGUUAUUAGGGAAGAACAAAUGUGUAAGUAACUGUGCACAUCUUGACGGUACCUAAUCAGAAAGCCACGGCUAACUACGUG